AUUGAACGCUGGCGACAUGCCUUACACAUGCAAGUCGAACGGCAGCACGGGUGCUUGCCCCUGGUGGCGAGUGGCGAACGGGUGAGUAAUACAUCGGAACAUGUCCUGUAGUGGGGGAUAGCCCGGCGAAAGCCGGAUUAAUACCGCAUACGAUCUACGGAUGAAAGCGGGGGACCUUCGGGCCUCGCGCUAUCGGGUUGGCCGAUGGCUGAUUAGCUAGUUGGUGGGGUAAAGGCCUACCAAGGCGACGAUCAGUAGCUGGUCUGAGAGGACGACCAGUCACACUGGGACUGAGACACGGCCCAGACUCCUACGGGAGGCAGCAGUGGGGAAUUUUGGACAAUGGGCGAAAGCCUGAUCCAGCAAUGCCGCGUGUGUGAAGAAGGCCUCGGGUUGUAAAGCACUUUUGUCCGGAAAGAAAUCCUUGGCCCUAAUACGGUCGGGGGAUGACGGUACCGGAAGAAUAAGCACCGGCUAACUACGUG
rnacentral:rRNA from 1 species